CACGUAGGGUGCGAGCGUUGUCCGGAAUUAUUGGGCGUAAAGAGCUCGUAGGCGGUGUGUCGCGUCGGCCGUGAAAACCUGCAGCUUAACUGUGGGCUUGCGGUCGAUACGGGCAUCACUGGAGUUCGGCAGGGGAGACUGGAAUUCCUGGUGUAGCGGUGAAAUGCGCAGAUAUCAGGAGGAACACCGGUGGCGAAGGCGGGUCUCUGGGCCGAUACUGACGCUGAGGAGCGAAAGCGUGGAGAGCGAACAGG
rnacentral:rRNA from 1 species